AUUGAACGCUGGCGGCAGGCUUAACACAUGCAAGUCGAGCGGUAGCACAGGGGAGCUUGCUCCCUGGGUGGCGAGCGGCGGACGGGUGAGUCAUGUCUGGGAAACUGCCUGAUGGAGGGGGAUAACUACUGGAAACGGUAGCUAAUACCGCAUAACGUCGCAAGACCAAAGAGGGGGACCUUCGGGCCUCUUGCCAUCAGAUGUGCCCAGAUGGGAUUAGCUAGUAGGUGGGGGAAUGGCUCACCUAGGCGACGAUCCCUAGCUGGUCUGAGAGGAUGACCGGCCACACUGGAACUGAGACACGGUCCAGACUCCUACGGGAGGCAGCAGUGGGGAAUAUUGCACAAUGGGCGCAAGCCUGAUGCAGCCAUGCCGCGUGUGUGAAGAAGGCCUUCGGGUUGUAAAGCACUUUCAGCGAGGAGGAAGGUGGUGAGCUUAAUACGUUCAUCAAUUGACGUUACUCGCAGAAGAAGCACCGGCUAACUCCGUG
rnacentral:rRNA from 1 species